rnacentral:lncRNA from 1 species
GCAUUUUGGGCUGUGGGAAAACAGAAGAGAGGCUCCUCACUCAGUCAUGAUGUGUCCAGAAAGGAGUCCCAGAGAAAAUAACAUCUGAUCUGAGAAAAGAGAGAAACAAGGAGCAGAAGUUAGGGGUACUAACUGGAAGAAAGGAAUGCGAAUGAUUACCAAUCCUGCUGCAAGUGCUUAAAGAAGAUGGAAUCAGAGUGUGGGAACCAGGCUGAACUACAUGACUGACAGUAGAUGACCGCCACUGCCACGGGAUCCACAGGGUCCACAAAGAAAAGCGGCUGCAGGAUACAUGAAUUACUUAAACCACCAAGAAAAUACACAAGAAAGAGGUACUAAAAGAGAUGGGUGUUUCUAAUGGAUCACAAUGUUAGAAUACAUAUGAAGAACUUCUUGAGAAAAGAAGACUGUAAGCCCAAGGAACCCAGAAAUUUUUGAAGGCAGGAUAGGUACCAGCGCAGCCUGGGAGGAGCGCGCCCCCUUUCGGCGAAAGAAGGCAAGGAGGAAAGCGUCUGGCGAGGCUCGCCGCUAAUUUACCCGGCGGAAAGCAGCGCCUGGCGUCGCUACAGCAGAGAGGAGAACUGCGAAGAUGGGGUGGGGGUGUUUGUUUCUUUGCCGAGGCAGAGACCACACCACUAUAACCAAAAAUACUGUGGGCUCUGUUUUCAACGUUAAAAUUCUUCAUUCAGUUAAUUACUCUUCCACCCAUUCCACAACCUCAAGCCCCAGUAAAGUGGGGAGCCUGAAGGUGACAUCUUGUUGGUUUGGAGAUGAUUUAUUCGCUCGUGUUGUAAAAUCUAAAAUGACACUCCUGGGAAGAGGAAGGAACUAUAAGGACCCGUGUGACCCAUUGCUGUCUGCCUGAAGCCCUGGCGCUCUGACCUGAGUGCACCGGGGUUAGGUGUCUCAGCCAAAAUGCAGGACUGCACGACGUCUAACACAUGGGAGAGAUGCUCUGAAACAUGGGGGUGGGUAUUCACUGCAUUCCAGAGUUGGGGGAUCUGGAGACCCAGUGAGUCCUUCGGACUUCACAGGCCUGUCUCCCCACACUUCAAAUUCCAAAUCGUCCUUCACCCAAAAGUGGGUAGGAGUCACUGGACUAUCAAUUUCCCCAAAAUUCUAAGAGAAGGAGGUAACCCGGGCCCCUACUUCUGCAUGUAAAAUAAACCGAAAUCACCACCUCUUGGCUGGCCUUGACAUUCAGCUCUGGGGACUCAGUGAGGCACUUAAUCCUGUAUUUCACCUCCUCUAAAGAGAAAAGUUUCCAAGCUACCCUUAAAGCUUUAUAUUUCAUUGGCUCCCCUCUUCAACGAGAUAAUUGAAGCUCAAAUUUAGACUGCCAGUGGGCCCCAGAGUCCCAGGAUGGUGCUGCAUAAGAAAAUUUCUGGCGCCAGGGUUGUUGCA